rnacentral:lncRNA from 1 species
UCAUGCCUGUAAUCCCAGCACUUUGGGAGGUCAAGGCAGGUGGAUCACCUGAGGUCAGGAGUUUGAGACCAGGCUGGCCAACAUGGCUAAACCCCAUCUCUACUAAAAAUACAAAAAAAUUAGCCGGACAUGGUGGCAGGUGCCUGUAAUCCCAGCUACUCAGGAGGCUGAGGCAGGAGAAUCACUUGAUCCCGGGCAGCGGAGGUUGCAGUGAGCCAAGAUUGUGCCACUGCACUCCAGCCUGAGUGACAAAGCAAGACUCCGUCUCAAUAAAAAUAAAUAAAUAAAUAAAAUCCUGGUUUCAGUGAAGAAACUGAGGCUACAAAAAGUAAAGGAGGCUAUUUAACAUGCUUGGAGUCAUGCAGCUAGGAAGGUGAACCUUGGAUUCCAAGCUCAAGUGGCUGGAUGCCAGCGGCACACUUACAGUUCUUAUCAUGGCAGCCUUUUGCUCUAGAUGGCAUGGAGAAGGGGUAUGAAAGAAGGUGGCUGAAAAUAAGAUUGCUGGAGCCAACUCAUGGAAGGUCCAGGAUGCUGCCUAGAACAGGCUGCAUUCUGGAGAUGGUCUGUGCGACUAUGUAGCAGCAGGAGAGCUGGUAAACACAGCUUAGGAGCUGUAGAGGUCUGAGCAUUAUCUAUGCCUUGGGAAGAUGCCUAGGGAGCAGAGGGGAGAGGGCUCAUCCGGGAGGCAGAGCCUGAGGCAGGGAUCACAAUUAGGUUGUUAGCCGACUAGGUGAGUGAUAAAAGGCCAGAAUUAGAACAGUCAUAUCUAUACUGAAUAGAGGUGGCUGGGUAAUGGAUGCAACAGAGACCAACAGGAUUUGGCUGCUGAAUAUAGGGCAAAAAGAGUGGGUAAGCUCAAAGAAAGGAUCCAAGUUUUUGCUGUGUAAUAGGAACAAAGUGUUGGAAAGACGAAUAAUGACACAUUCAGAAGGCAGUGGAAGGGUGAGUUAAGAGGGAUGAGAGACACAGAUGAGGGCAUCACUCCACAUAUAUAACUGAAGGCAGGGGUUUAGAUAAGGUGGGAGGAUGAAGAAGAAAAAUGGAAAGUGGCGAGAGACCAUGAAGUGAUGAAAAACCUCUGCUAUACACCGGUGGUACAGCAAUCCAGGCACAAGAGUUAAGAACAGGGCUUCCAGAAGUGAGAAGGCGAAAGGACCAACAAUGUCUACUGACACAGGGAGGCAAAGUCCAGCACAUGGGGUGACCUAGGAUUGGAACGAGAAUGCUGGGGAAUGAGAGAGCUGUGUAGUCUACUUGCAGGGGAAGGGAAAGUGAGAAAAUGACAGUAGUUUAUGAGAGCAAUCAAGAGACAAUGACAAUUCAUUUAGGGUAAUUAAGGAGAAAAUAUCUAGGGGGAAGAGAGUGAAAAGAUAAAACUACUAGGGAUAAUUAUGCUGUGCUUACGCAUAACAGUACAAGUUCUGAAUGGAGGAGUGAAAGGUAGAACAUGAAGAGUUUGCAUUUGCUUUAGUGACAUACAGAGUUGGGGGAUAAAUUUGUUACAGAGCAGAAACUGACAAAUCAUAGUUGUCCUUACUAUUUAUGCUUUGGAGAUUUAAAAAAAUCAAACAGAAUCGAAUUUGGCACAAGAACAACUAAAGUUCUGAUGCAUAAACCACAUCAGCAACAAAAGACCCCUUCAGAAUCAAUAGUAAAAUAAUAUUCUGGCUCUCCAUAGGAAGUUAUGAUUAAGUUACUGUGAUCUGUAACACAGAAGAGAAGAUGAAGCAGCUGAUGACCACAGAGAUCCCUUUCUGGAAGGAUGUGAUUUUCCAGCUACUAAGUGGGAGCAGUCAUCUUGAGACACUUUUCAAGAACAAAUUACCCAGCAGUGUGACCAGAAAGAAGAGAUAGCUGUAACUACUUGAAUAACUACGGCCCUGCAAACUCUCUCUUCUCCCCUCCUCUCCUUCCUGGAGAAGCAAGAGCCAGACACGUGUCAAGCACUUCUGAUGUAGGAGGCACUGUGCUAAACUCUUCACAGACAUCAUCUCCUUCAAUCCCCCAAUCAUGCUGACACAAGCUAUAUUAUUCCCAUCUUUCUAGAGAUGAGAUGGAGGCAGAGACUUCUCUUCAAGGUAGUAAAAGAAUGUGAACGCGACUUGCCCAAUUUCUAACCCACGCUCAGAACCAUUACGCCUAGUUGUCUCUUGUGAAAAAGCAGAUUCAAUACAACAAUUCAUUUUCAGUUUUUUCUUUCCUGUUUGAACGGAGUAGCUGCCUGAAUUUUUGGUUAAUCUGAUCAUAUGGACUAGAAUUCCUGUGACUUUAAGAGCUUCUAAGAGAUAAAGAUAAACCAAUGGAUUCAGUGACAUUAAAAUACAUCAAGUAAUAUGGAAGAGAUGUUUUUGUAGGUACAAUAUAACUGAUUUUCAUCAGAUAUAUCAAAUUUUUCUUUGUAGGUUAAUCAAUAAUGAGAAAGCCAGGCUACUUGGCAGUAAAAUCCCCAAAUCUGAAUCCUUGAGAAAUAUUUUAUUUAUUUAUUUAUUUUGGAGACAGAGUCUUGUUCUGUCGCCCAGGCUGGAGUGCAGUAGUGCAAACUCAGCUCACUGUAACCUUCGCCUCCCAGGUUCAAGAGAUUCUCGUGCCUCAGCCUCCCAAGUACUUGGGACUACAGGCGCUCGCCACCAUGCCCAGCCAAUUUUUUGAGACAGAAUCUCCGUCUGUCGCCCAGGCUGGAGUGCAGUGGCAUGAUCUUAGCUCACUGCAAGCUCUGCCUCCCAGGUUCACAGCAUUCUCCUGCCUCAGCCUCCCAAGUAGCUGGGAAUACAGGCACCCGUCACCGCGCCUGGCUAAUUUUUUGUGUUUUUAGUAGAGACGGGGUUUCACUGUGUUAGCCACGAUGGUCUCAAUCUCCUAACCUCAUGACCUGCCCGCCUCAGCCUCCCAAAUUUUUGUAUUUUUAGUAGAGACAGUGUUUCACCAUGUUGGCCAGGCUGGUUUCAAAUUCCUGACCUCAAGUGAUCCACCUGCCUCGGCCUACCAAAGUGCUGGGAUUACAGGCAUGAUACACCAUGCCCAGCCGUGAGAAAUAUUUUAGGCUCAAAAAUAUAUAACUAGUGACAGUUUUAAUUUUCUUCAAAUGGGCUUGCAAAAUAAUUAUACUGAUGUAGGUUUUGUCUAAAUAUAGCAUAGUCAUUUCAAGAUAGGAGCAAUGGGUGCUUCACCUAUCUACCAAUACAAUCUUAAGUUCACAUCUCCAUAUGACAGUUUUGGCUGCUGUAAUUUGUAUCGGAAGUCCAUGAUCUUCAUAAAUUCACCUUUGCAUCCAGGAGUGCUGAGAGCAACCAGAAAGGGCAAUAGGACUGUGACUACAACCAUGUCAGCAUGAAGUCCAAGCGCCAAGCUUCUCAAACGCACAGCAUUCUACUGAUACGAAGCAUCAUUAUUUCCAAAUGCUCUGUUUUUUUUUCAUGUGAAAUGGUCCUCACGGCUCACAGUAAAAUUAUAGGUUUUUUCUUCUAAUACCGCCUUCUCUGAAAUGGGCUAGUCUGCAAAAAAACCAAACUGUGGUUCCUAUCACUGCGUCUUUCACUCAGUGUCUACAUGCUUCUAUAAGCUUGAUUUCUUCUUCUCCUCCUUACGGUUUUGCCACCCGAAUCCCUCUUGCCAUGUUACAUAAUGACUUCAUUGUUGACACUUCUGGUUUGGCACAGGGAAGUGAUAUAGCUAUUUAUUUUUUAAAAACAGAUUUUUAAGGGCUGGGUGCCGUGGCUCACACCUGUAAUCCCAGCACUUUGGGAGGCUGAGGCAAGUGGAUCACUUGAGGUCAGGAAAUGGAGACCAGCCUGGCUGACACGGCAAAAUCCUCUCUCUACUAAAAAUACAAAAAUUAUCUGGGCAUGGUGGUGCGUGCCUGUAGUCUUGGCCACUUGGGAGGCUGAGGCAGAAUUGCUUGAACCCAGGAGGCGGAGGUUACAGUGAGCCAAGAUUACACCACUGCACUCCAGCCUGGGCGACAGAACAAGCCUCUAUCUUGGAAAACAAACAAACAAACAAACAAACAAACAGAAUUUUAAGAAAUCAAAUAUUUUAGAAAGGCAACACAAUCCAGAGUUCUAACGUACAGCCCCAUUUUCUCUAAGUACUCCAAGAACAAUGGCCUUCACUAAAAUCAUAAUAUACUUUAGGUCCAACAGUUGUGGACAAGUAGGUUUAACAGUUACAUGUGCCUUAAAACUGACUCACCAAGGCUGUCUGCUCAUUUUCACAAUGAUAGGAAAUAUCAGUAGCCUAAAUACAUUAUCUAAAGGAUAAGGGUUCAGGAGCUCCAGUUCAUAUUUCCCCAUGAUCCAUUUCCUUUCAUUUGUAUCAACAAAACAAGGCUUUCUCCAAUGCUUCUUUAUUAAAUGAGGUAGUAUUCCUGAACAUUUUCUUGAGACUUCAGGAGUCAAGUCAAAAGAACUCAUUAGAUAAAAAUACAAGCCUUCUUACGCCUCCCAACCCCCAAUCAUUCUAGUCAACAGUCUUGAGAAUAUUCAGAGACUAUUAAUAGUCUUGCAUUAAAACAAAUUAAACCCAUCAUCAGUCUGCUGUCCACAGAAAACAUGGCAGUAUAUUUUUUAAUAUAGCGCAAUUUCAACUAUAUUUUAAACUAAAAGCAAUAAAUAUAACUGUAAUUUAAUCACCCUCCUUUAAUUUGAAUUCACAUGGUAGAUACUUAUAGCUACUUAAAAAAUUAAGAGGCAAAAUGUAUAUGAAGAAUAUGUAUCUUGAUAUUUUAAUUAUGCUCAAUUGAAUGUACUUAGAUUUAAAGUGCUUUUCACAAAUGACAUGUGCUAAGAAUAUCUAAUUGCACACUGACAUUCUAAAAUGCGUGCUUACACGUGUCAAAAAUAGAUUAAUAUAAAGUUAUAGAAUAGACUUUUACUUAAACCCAAAUACAUUAUUUUGAUUAUCUGGACACAAACACAAUUGUAACUACAAACAAGAUAUAUAGUAAUAAAUGUCUAGUGAUUUAUGUUUCAUUAAGACGAAUACACAAGUGAUGACAGUGUUUGACAUUUGAAUAAAUUAGAAAAUAAAGACUUGUAAAGGAAUCUAAGGUUCAACAUAUUUUCCAUUUACUUUCUUACUAACUCAAUGUUAAAUAGAGACAUGAAAAUAAUUUGUAUGUAACCAACUAUUAUUGUAUGCAGAGCUCACAGGUAAAAAAGAGAUAUUCAGCAAAUAGCAGUGGAUGGAAUAAAUUAAAACACAUUGCCAAAUUGCAGUCAAGUGCUGUUCAAAACUGUUCACAAGUGCUGAAGACGGCAUUCAGCAACCUCACAAAGAAGCUGGCAAAGAUGAGGUGGCAUGAGGUCGGAAGGCCACUCACCCUGUCGAGCUCUGAAGGGAAGUGUGUUGGGCUCACUGCCUUCACAAGAUACAUCAUCACCCUCCUGCAAUCAGAAACCUGAGUCCUCACAAACUGAAAGAAAGACCUUUUCUUAAACCCUAGCAUUAGGGCUGAAUUGCGUCUCUCCAAAAUUUGUAUACUGAAGUCCUAACUCUCAGGACCUCAGAAUGUGACCGGAUUUGGACUUACGGCCUUUUAAGAGGUAAUUAAGAAGAAAUGAAGUCAAAUGGAUGGGCCCUAAUCCAAUAUGACUGGUGCCCUUAUAAUUAGAGAUUAAGACACAGACGACACAUGGACUGAGGGGUGACCACGUGAGGACACAGUGAGAAGGCGGCCAUCUGCAAGAAAAGAAGAGAGGCCUCAGAAGAAACCAAAACUGCCAACACCUUAACCUCGGACUUCCAGUCUCUGUUGUUUAAGCCUCCCGCUCUGUGGUAUGAGGCAUUUUGUUAUGGCAGCCUGACCAAACGAAUACACUAAGUUAGACUGUCUGACCAAAUGCACAUCUCUAAACAUAAA